GUAACAAGGUCUCCGUAGGUGAACCUGCGGAGGGAUCAUU
rnacentral:rRNA from 22 species